GACGAACGCUGGCGGCGUGCUUAACACAUGCAAGUCGAACGCAGUGGCGAACGGGUGAGUUACGCGUAAUCAACCUGCCCUCCAGCGGGGGACAACAGUUUGAAACGACUGCUAAUACCGCAUUCUGACGGAGGGGAUUGCGUCUGAUUAGGUGGUUGGAGGGGUAACGGCCCACCAAGGCGAUGAACAGUAGCCGGUCUGAGAGGAGGAACGGCCACAUUGGGACUGAGACACGGCCCAGACUCCUACGGGAGGCAGCAGUGGGGAAUCUUCCGCAAUGGACGAAAGUCUGACGGAGCAACGCCGCGUGAGUGAUGACGGCCUUCGGGUUGUAAAGCUCUGUUAAUCGGGACGCGGUACCGGAAUAGAAAGCCACGGCUAACUACGUGCCAGCAGCCGCGGUAAUUC
rnacentral:rRNA from 1 species